rnacentral:rRNA from 1 species
CCUACGGGCGGCAGCAGUAGGGAAUAUUGCACAAUGGGGGAAACCCUGAAGCAGCAACGCCGCGUGAAGGAUGAAGGUUUUCGGAUUGUAAAGCCCUAUUGUCAGAGAAGAUAAUGACGGUAUCUAACGAAUAAGCACCGGCUAACUACGUGCCAGCAGCCGCGGUAAUACGGAGGGUGCAAGCGUUACCCGGAAUCACUGGGCGUAAAGGGCGCGUAGGCGGGAUAGCAAGUCAGAUGUGAAAUCCUAUGGCUUAACCAUAGAACUGCAUUUGAAACUGUUAUUCUAGAGUAUGGGAGAGGUAGGUGGAAUUCUUGGUGUAGGGGUAAAAUCCGUAGAGAUCAAGAGGAAUACUCAUUGCGAAGGCGACCUGCUAGAACAUAACUGACGCUGAUGCGCGAAAGCGUGGGGAGCAAACAGGAUUAGAUACCCCGGUAGUC